GGCGCAAGCCUGAUCCAGCAAUGCCGCGUGCAGGAUGAAGGCCUUCGGGUUGUAAACUGCUUUUGUACGGAGCGAAAAGGCUUCCACUAAUACUGGGGGCUCAUGACGGUACCGUAAGAAUAAGCACGGGCUAACUACGUGCCAGCAGCCGCGGUAAUACGUAGGGUGCAAGCGUUAAUCGGAAUUACUGGGCGUAAAGCGUGCGCAGGCGGUCUUGUAAGACAGGUGUGAAAUCCCCGGGCUUAACCUGGGAACUGCACUUGUGACUGCAAGGCUGGAGUACGGCAGAGGGGGAUGGAAUUCCGCGUGUAGCAGUGAAAUGCGUAGAUAUGCGGAGGAACACCGAUGGCGAAGGCAAUCCCCUGGGCCUGUACUGACGCUCAUGCACGAAAGCGUGGGGAGCAAACAGGAUUAGAUACCCUGGUAGUCCACGCCCUAAACGAUGUCAACUGGUUGUUGGGUCUUCACUGACUCAGUAACGAAGCUAACGCGUGAAGUUGACCGCCUGGGGAGUACGGCCGCAAGGUUGAAACUCAAAGA
rnacentral:rRNA from 1 species